CGGACGGGUGAGUAACACGUGGAUAACCUACCUAUAAGACUGGGAUAACUUCGGGAAACCGGAGCUAAUACCGGAUAAUAUUUUGAACCGCAUGGUUCAAAAGUGAAAGACGGUCUUGCUGUCACUUAUAGAUGUAUCCGCGCUGCAUUAGCUAGUUGGUAAGGUAACGGCUUACCAAGGCAACGAUGCAUAGCCGACCUGAGAGGGUGAUCGGCCACACUGGAACUUAGACACGGUCCAG
rnacentral:rRNA from 1 species